CUCAGAACGAACGCUGGCGGCGCGCCUAAUACAUGCAAGUCGAGCGAGAAGGUGUAGCAAUACACUUGUAAAGCGGCGAACGGGGUGAGGAAUGCAUGGGUAACCUACCCUCGAGUGGGAAUAACUAGCCGAAAGGUUAGCUAAUACCGCAUACGUUUCCGGAACUUCGGUUUCGGAAAGAAAGCAAUACCGUGGGUAUUGCGCUCCUGGAUGGGCUCAUGUCCUAUCAGCUUGUUGGUGAGGUAACGGCUCACCAAGGCUUCGACGGGUAGCUGGUCUGAGAGGACGAUCAGCCACACUGGCACUGCGACACGGGCCAGACUCCUACGGGAGGCAGCAGUAAGGAAUAUUGCGCAAUGGACGAAAGUCUGACGCAGCGACGCCGCGUGGGGGAUGAAGGUCUUCGGAUUGUAAACCCCUUUCGGGAGGGAAGAUGGAGUGGGUAACCACUUGGACGGUACCUCCAGAAGCAGCCACGGCUAACUUCGUG
rnacentral:rRNA from 1 species